CUGGAGUUGGAGCAUCUGAGGAGCGACUUUUGACCGUCUCAUGAGACAGGAGCACAGAAGAGCCCGCCAACUGGAGGAGCUGACGUUUCUUCAUGAACGCCACGAGCAGUCUAAGCAGGACCUUAAAGGGCUGGAGGAGACUGUUGCUCGUGAACUCCAGACUCUCCACAACCUGCGGAAGCUUUUUGUUCAAGACCUCACGAUUCGAGUCAAAAGACAGUCAGAGAUGGAGCGAGAUGAUGGCCGGGGGAUGUAGCCACCAGAAGCAGAAGAUCUCCUUCCUUGAGAACAACCUGGACCAGCUUACUAAGGUUCACAAAC